UCCUACAAGAUUAUCAAUUUUGCUCCCAGCCUGCUUCAGAUCAUCGUCUCGGACCAAGUGGAGUUCCCGGUGCGUCAGGCAGGUGAGUUUUCUGCCCUUUUGGUUCUUUUCAGCCGUUAACGUGCAUUGAGACGGGGGAAGCGGGCUGACGACGGCCUCCUCACGUUGUGCUCAGGAGAAGCGCUCGGACACGGCCCUGCGAGCUUCCCGGCUUCUUGCCUUGGGGCGGCCCUGCGAGGGCACCGAGCCCGGGCCGUGGCGGACGCUCUUACUCGCUGUGAGGGUCAAAGGCGUGGCCUUCGCCAGCUGCUUCCUCCCUAGUCAGCCUCUGCCUAUUCUCUCUUGCACGUGCACACGCGCACACACACGUGCACACACACAACACAUGCGCACACAUACGCACACACGUGCACAUAAUACAUGUGAACGCAGGCACACAAUACACAUGUAUACACAUGCACACAAUACACACGCAUGCGCACACAACGCGCACGCACACACAAUACACAUGCACGUACACACAGUGCACAUGCACACACGUGUGUGUACACACACACACACACACCCCUGGCUCAGCCACCUGCGAUCCUAGAAAGCUGUACCAUGCCAGAAAGGGGAGUCCCGAGCGGGAGGGCCCGCCGUCUGCCCAUGCGCAGGCUCACUUGCCGAGCAGCUUCCGCUCGGCGAGCUCUGUCUUGGCGCUGCGCACACAGACGUGCUUCGAGAGCCCGCUGGGCCUCUUCCUGCCUUUGGGGCUCACCAGAGGCUGUCCUGGUGGCCGUUCUCAGUGGCUCUGAGCAGCUGGAGGCCCCGGGGGCGGAGGGGGCCCUCUGGCGCCCGGUACCCCCACAUCCCUCGGCAGGCCGCCGCGCCGCGAGCCUGGCACGGAGCCUCCUUGGCCUUCCCUCCUCCGCUAGAUGAGGGCAGACGGCUACAAAGUAUCUGAGGGCAGAUUUGAACUCGGGUCCUCCCGACUCCUCAUCACCAUCUUGUCCCUGCUCCAUUUCUCUCCCUUUGGAGAGCCAGCCAAGAUGAGGCUCCUGUCCCAGCCGCCUUUGAGAGGCCCGUCAGCUCCAGCCCCAGACGGAGGCUCCUCUCGGGCCGAGCCCUGCUUUGGUGGGCCCGACAUGGGGGCGGGGGGGGGGGCAGUGAGGCCUGCAGGAAGGGCCUGGACAGCCUGUCGGCUGGCUCUGAGCUGGCUCAGGGCCGCACCCGGGAGGCGUUUCCGGCCCCGAAGGAGGGCGAGGCCCAGGGAGCUGCCAUGGAGGACGGCCAGGGAAGAGGAGUCUGUUCUGUGGGUGCAGGCGCUCCGCGAAGACCCCGCAGGGAGGGACCCCCGUCCUGAAGGCGGCCGGCGCAGACGGGGCCUCCCUGCCCCCCCCAGCGGCCCACCUGCGCCCAGGAUGCUCCCGGGGCCGCCCCACACGCAGGAUGGCUGCAGGGAAGGAGGAGGGAGGAGGAAGUCGAGCUGGAGCAGAGCAGGGACUGCCCGGAGGAGAGCCGAAGAGAGGAGCCCGAGCAGCGGGCCUGGGCAGCGAGAGAGCCUUCUUCCAGGCGGAGCUGGCCAGGCCCACACCGGGAUGGACGUCCAGGCCCGCAGAGCUCUAGAGGCCAGUCAGGUGGGGUCAAGGGACUUGCCCAGGGUCAUACAGCUAGGAAAUACUCGAGGUCACAUUUGAACCCAGCUCCUUCCGCCUCGAGGCUUGGCUCUCCAUCUGUCCAGUCACCUUGCUGCUCCGGAAGGACUGAAGGAAUCCUUUACCCCCUCUGUCUUUCUUCUUCCGGUCUCCCUCCCCUUCUCUCUCCCUCUCUCCCUGUCCCUGAAACUUGAUGCCUUCAGUGAAAAGGCCCGACAAGAUGGCGUCGAGGGAGAGGAGGGGGAGCGGCCGAGGCCGAUGCCACGCCCUUCCACAAGGCCUCGUGUCAGGGUUCAUCCGCACUUUGCCCAAAGUGGGGGGGGGGCAGGUUGUCCCCAGGCAGCACGUGAAUGGCGGCGCCGAAGGACCGGAGGCUGCAGUGGCCCGAGCAAGCCCAGGAGGACGACAGGCCUCCCGUUCAUUCUUGAGCAGACUCACCCCCCCAGUUCCGUCACUGCGGGCGGCCACUGACCGACUGGCCCUUUCCGUGGCUCCUUUUCCUCGCAGCGCGGCCAUCGCGGUCUGCGCCUCCUGCUUUAGCCCUCGCCCGCCGGCCUGCUCCAGGGCAGAAGACUGGCCCAGGGUCACCGGGCUGGGAAGCGUCUGAGCCGGAUUGGAACCCAGCACUUCCUGUGUCCAGGCUCGGCUCUCCCUCCGCUGAGCCGCCCGGCUGCCCCCAGAUCCAGCCGGCAUUUCAGGGCAUUAAAGAAGAAGGGGACAAAUGGAAGCGCAAACUGUGCCCCCCCAGGACCAGGCCCCCCCACGGGGAACCCCCCGGGCGCCUGCGCCUCUUCCUGUGGGAGGGGCCUCACGUGAGCCCAGAUCCCGCCCACACGUCCCCGCCCUCUUCUCCUGCCCUCUGGGAGCUGCAGUCACGAGGCCAGUCCCUGAAGACAACUCCGCAGGGCAGGCGGGCAGAGGCGGGGCUGUAAGAGACCGCCCUGUCCGGCCCUGCCCCCCAGGCGCUUGGCCUCCCGCCUUCUGUGGCAUCUUCCGGGCGGGAAGUCGCUGCUGGGCUUGGGGGCCUCAGUGCUGACCUCAA
ensembl:lncRNA